GAAAUGUUGGGUUAAGUCCCGCAACGAGCGCAACCCUUAUCCUUUGUUGCCAGCGGUCCGGCCGGGAACUCAAAGGAGACUGCCAGUGAUAAACUGGAGGAAGGUGGGGAUGACGUCAAGUCAUCAUGGCCCUUACGACCAGGGCUACACACGUGCUACAAUGGCGCAUACAAAGAGAAGCGACCUCGCGAGAGCAAGCGGACCUCAUAAAGUGCGUCGUAGUCCGGAUUGGAGUCUGCAACUCGACUCCAUGAAGUCGGAAUCGCUAGUAAUCGUGGAUCAGAAUGCCACGGUGAAUACGUUCCCGGGCCUUGUACACACCGCCCGUCACACCAUGGGAGUGGGUUGCAAAAGAAGUAGGUAGCUUAACCUUCGGGAGGGCGCUUACCACUUUGUGAUUCAUGACUGGGGUGAAGUCGUAACAAGGUAACCGUAGGGGAACCUGCGGUUGGAUCAC
rnacentral:rRNA from 2 species